rnacentral:rRNA from 1 species
UACGUAGGGUGCAAGCGUUAAUCGGAAUUACUGGGCGUAAAGCGUGCGCAGGCGGUUUUGUAAGCCAGAUGUGAAAGCCCCGGGCUUAACCUGGGAAUGGCAUUUGGGACUGCAAGGCUUGAGUGCGGCAGAGGAGACUGGAAUUCCUGGUGUAGCAGUGAAAUGCGUAGAUAUCAGGAGGAAUACCGAUGGCGAAGGCAGGUCUCUGGGCUGACACUGACGCUCAUGCACGAAAGCGUGGGGAGCAACAGG